CUAUGAGAGUCAAUGAUCAGUACCUCACAAAUGUCCUGCUUAAGAUCAAUGCUAAGCUUGGGGGUCUUAACUCAAUGUUAUGUGUGGAGCAUUCUCCUUCCCUUCCACAUGUUUCCAAGGCUCCCACAAUCAUUCUGGGCAUGGAUGUGUCUCAUGGGUCACCUGGCCAGUCUGAUAUUCCAUUUAUUGCUGCUGUUGUUAGCUCCCGACAUUGGCCUUUGAUCUCCCGCUAUCGAGCUUCUUAAAGAACUCAAUCUCCAAAGGUGGAGAUGGUAGAUUCCCUGUUCAAGAAAGUUUCUGACACUGAGGAUGAAGGCAUAAUGAGGGAGCUUCUCCUUGACUUCUAUAUGAGUUCUGCAAAACGUAAGCCAGAUCAGAUAAUCAUUUUCAGGUGAAUUCUUUUAAAAUUGUAUAUUUAACUUUUAGAUAUUUAUGUCAUUUUCUUUAUAAAAAAUAGGUGAACUCAUGUUUUUAUUUUGCUGUAAAAAGCUCAAACCUUAAAAUUCUAUUACUUGUUAUAUUA